rnacentral:rRNA from 1 species
UACGUAGGGUGCGAGCGUUGUCCGGAAUUAUUGGGCGUAAAGAGCUCGUAGGCGGUGUGUCGCGUCGGCCGUGAAAACCUGCAGCUUAACUGUGGGCUUGCGGUCGAUACGGGCAUCACUGGAGUUCGGCAGGGGAGACUGGAAUUCCUGGUGUAGCGGUGAAAUGCGUAGAUAUCGAGAGGAACACCUGCGGCGAAGGCGGGUUGCUGGGCCGACACUGACGCUGAUGCGCGAAAGCCAGGGGAGCGAACGGG